AGGUCCUCUAAGAAUCGAUCACACCAGCAGGAACUACAAGAUGAUGUUACUUAAUUGGUGGAACUACAAGUCCCACAACAUUUUUGCUACCUAUAUAACCAAAAUUCCUCCUUUAAUCAUAGUGUGGGAGCUAUGGAAAGCAAGAUGUAGUAGAAAGUUUGAAAACUUAAGGGUAUCCUUCUAUAGGACCAAGACUAAUGUUCUAAAUACUCUUGUGCAGGUUCUAAAAAUGAAGUUUAGAAGAGCCAACUUAGGAGAGGAAUGGAGUGCAAUCUGCAAUGCUUGUGAAGCCAACAUUGAGCAAAGAGUUUCCAGAGCUAUCAAAUGGAACAAGCCUCCCCCCCCCCCACAUUGUUAAGUUAAAUAGUGAUGGGAGUUGUUUACGUGGUAUAUGUGGAGGAGGGGGAGUGGUCAGAGACAAUGAAGGAAGAAUUAUUUGUGCUUACUCAAUACCUCUGGGACCAGGAACAUCCAACAUGGCAGAAGCAGCUUCAAUGUUGUUUGGCAUAAAAUGGUGUGUAAAUAAUGGACAUAGUGUGAUCAUUGGAGAAACCGACUCUCUCCUCAUUACCAAAUGCGUCAGAAGGGAAUGGAAAGUGCCUUGGAGGAUUCUACACAUCAUCAAUGAAAUCCAAGAGUUAGUUUAAAAGAAUGGAUUUGAAAUCAAACAUUGUUUUCGAGAAGCCAAUAGACCAGCUGAUAAAUUGGCAAGCAUGAGCCACAAUUUUGAGUCAAUCCAUGUCUUCUACUCUCAUACUGAACUUCCCAAUCAAGUAAAGGGGCUAGUCAAUAUGGACAAAUGGGAUAUUCACUCUUUCAGGAUCAAAAUGAACAAACCAUCCCAUAUCAUCUACGAUCCCCCAUAGGUUUUGACUAAGUAUAGCUUAGUGAACUCCCCUCAAUGAUCAUGUACAAAGUUUGGUAUGCCAAACUCAAAU
rnacentral:lncRNA from 1 species